rnacentral:rRNA from 1 species
GUAGUCAUAUGCUUGUCUCAAAGAUUAAGCCAUGCAUGUCUAAGUAUAAGCAAUUAUACCGCGAAACUGCGAAUGGCUCAUUAAAUCAGUUAUCGUUUAUUUGAUAGUACCUUACUACAUGGAUAACCGUGGUAAUUCUAGAGCUAAUACAUGCUAAAAAUCCCGACUUCGGAAGGGAUGUAUUUAUUAGAUUAAAAACCAAUGCCCUUCGGGGCUCUCUGGUGAUUCAUAAUAACUUCUCGAAUCGCACGGCCUUGCGCCGGCGAUGGUUCAUUCAAAUUUCUGCCCUAUCAACUUUCGACGGCUGGGUCUUGGCCAGCCGUGGUGACAACGGGUAACGGAGGGUUAGGGCUCGACCCCGGAGAAGGAGCCUGAGAAACGGCUACUACAUCCAAGGAAGGCAGCAGGCGCGCAAAUUACCCAAUCCCGACACGGGGAGGUAGUGACAAUAAAUACUGAUACAGGGCUCUUUCGGGUCUUGUAAUUGGAAUGAGUACAAUUUAAAUCCCUUAACGAGGAACAAUUGGAGGGCAAGUCUGGUGCCAGCAGCC